rnacentral:rRNA from 1 species
CAAACGGGUGCGGAACACGUACGCAACUUCCCCAAAACUGGUGAAUAGCCCUCCGAAAGGAGGAUUAAUACACCGUAAGAUAAUGAGAUGGCAUCAUUUUAUUAUUAUAGCUCCGGCGGUUUUGGAUGGGCGUGCGCCUGAUUAGGUAGUUGGCGGGGUAACGGCCCACCAAGCCUGCGAUCAGUAACUGGUGUGAGAGCACGACCAGUCACACGGGCACUGAGACACGGGCCCG